AGCGAACGCUGGCGGUAGGCCUAACACAUGCAAGUCGAACGGAUCCUUCGGGAUUAGUGGCGGACGGGUGAGUAACACGUGGGAACGUGCCCUUUGGUUCGGAACAACUCAGGGAAACUUGAGCUAAUACCGGAUGUGCCCUUCGGGGGAAAGAUUUAUCGCCAUUGGAGCGGCCCGCGUCUGAUUAGCUAGUUGGUGAGGUAACGGCCCACCAAGGCGACGAUCAGUAGCUGGUCUGAGAGGAUGAUCAGCCACACUGGGACUGAGACACGGCCCAGACUCCUACGGGAGGCAGCAGUGGGGAAUCUUGCGCAAUGGGCGAAAGCCUGACGCAGCCAUGCCGCGUGAAUGAUGAAGGUCUUAGGAUUGUAAAAUUCUUUCAGCGGGGACGAUAAUGACGGUACCCGCAGAAGAAGCGCCGGCUAACUUCGUG
rnacentral:rRNA from 1 species